rnacentral:rRNA from 1 species
UAGGGAAUCUUCGGCAAUGGACGAAAGUCUGACCGAGCAACGCCGCGUGAGUGAAGAAGGUUUUCGGAUCGUAAAACUCUGUUGUUAGAGAAGAACAAGGACGUUAGUAACUGAACGUCCCCUGACGGUAUCUAACCAGAAAGCCACGGCUAACUACGUGCCAGCAGCCGCGGUAAUACGUAGGUGGCAAGCGUUGUCCGGAUUUAUUGGGCGUAAAGCGAGCGCAGGCGGUUUCUUAAGUCUGAUGUGAAAGCCCCCGGCUAAACCGGGGAGGGUCAUUGGAAACUGGGAGACUUGAGUGCAGAAGAGGAGAGUGGAAUUCCAUGUGUAGCGGUGAAAUGCGUAGAUAUAUGGAGGAACACCAGUGGCGAAGGCGGCUCUCUGGUCUGUAACUGACGCUGAGGCUCGAAAGCGUGGCGAGCAAACAGG